AUGAAAAAGUGGACGAGAGAAACAAAGGUUUGUCUCUCCCGCCUGUCAAUCACAGACCCCGGCUCGUCCGAUGUGCUUGCCUUGCGUGAGAUUCCUUUAGACUGCAUAAUGUCUGUGCCUCGACCUAGGUUGGGCAAACCUAAACAUGGCGGUGUUCGCCUUAGCAAUCUCACUAGAAUAAAGACCUCCUCCAUUCCUGCCAUUAUUGAAAGAGAUCGUGAUACCUCACAUCUCAAAAUAGGGCUACUUAAUAUUAGAUCCCUCACUUCAAAGGCAGUUAUAGUCAAUGAACUAAUCACUGAUCAUAAUCUUGAUGUGAUUGGCCUGACUGAAACAUGGCUUAAGCCUGAUGAAUUUACUGUGUUAAAUGAGGCCUCACCUCCUGGCUACACUAGUGACCAUAUCCCCCACGCAUCCCGCAAAGGCGGAGGUGUUGCUAACAUUUACGAUAACAAAUUUCAAUUUACAAAAAAAAAUAUGUUUUCGUCUUUUGAGCUUCUAGUCAUGAAAUCUAUGCAGCCUACUCAAUCACUUUUUAUAGCUACUGUUUACAGGCCUCCUGGGCCAUAUACAGCGUUCCUCACUGAGUUCCCUGAAUUCCUAUCGGACCUUGUAGUCAUAGCAGAUAAUAUUCACAUUUUUGGUGACUUUAAUAUUCACAUGGAAAAGUCCACAGACCCACUCCAAAAGGCUUUCGGAGCCAUCAUCGACUCAGUGGGUUUUGUCCAACAUGUCUCCGGACCUACUCACUGCCACAGUCAUACUCUGGAACUAGUUUUGUCCCAUGGAAUAAAUGUUGUGGAUCUUAAUGUUUUUCCUCAUAAUCCUGGACUAUCGGACCACCAUUUUAUUACGUUUGCAAUCGCAACAAAUAAUCUGCUCAGACCCCAACCAAGGAGCAUCAAAAGUCAUGCUAUAAAUUCUCAGACAACCGAAAGAUUCCUUGAUGCCCUUCCAGACUCCCUCUGCCUAACCAAGGAUGUCAGAGUACAAAAAUCAGUUAACCACCUAACUGAGGAACUAAAUUUAACCUUGUGCAAUACCCUAAAUGCAGUUGCGCCCCUAAAAACGAAAAACAUUUAUCAUAAGAAACUAGCUCCCUGGUAUACAGAAAAUACCCGAGCUCUGAAG
rnacentral:lncRNA from 8 species